CCUACGGGUGGCUGCAGUGGGGAAUUUUGGACAAUGGACGCAAGUCUGAUCCAGCCAUGCCGCGUGCGGGAAGAAGGCCUUCGGGUUGUAAACCGCUUUUGUCAGGGAAGAAAAGGUUCCUUCUAAUAAAGGGGACUCAUGACGGUACCUGAAGAAUAAGCACCGGCUAACUACGUGCCAGCAGCCGCGGUAAUACGUAGGGUGCAAGCGUUAAUCGGAAUUACUGGGCGUAAAGCGUGCGCAGGCGGUUGUGCAAGACAGGUGUGAAAUCCCCG
rnacentral:rRNA from 1 species